AGUGAACGCUGGCGGCAUGCCUAACACAUGCAAGUCGAACGACAACACGGGAAGAUUGCGCCCUUACCGGUAGCGAGGGGCGGAUGAGUAAGAAGUAGAUAACCAACUACUAUUUCUGGGGUGACUACGGAGAAAAAGUGAUGAUAACACCGAAUAUGACCAACGGGAGGAAUCAGUGGUGCUUGGGACUUUUGCCGAUUCAUAUAGCCGAUGUCGGAUUAGCUAGUUGGCGUGGUAAAGGCACACCAAGGCGACGAUCCGUAGCUGGUCUGAGAGGAUGAUCAGCCACACUGGAACUGAGACACGGUCCAGACUCCUACGGGAGGCAGCAGUGGGGAAUAUUGGACAAUGGGCGCAAGCCUGAUCCAGCCAUACCGCGUGGGUGAAGAAGGCCUUCGGGUUGUAAAGCCCUUUUGUUGGGAAAGAAAAGCAGCAGGUUAAUCCCCCGCUGUUCUGACGGUACCCAAAGAAUAAGCACCGGCUAACUUCGUG
rnacentral:rRNA from 1 species